GCAGGUGUAGUUCAAUGGCAGAACAUCAGCCUUCCAAGCUGAAUAUGCGAGUUCGAUCCUCGUCACCUGCUCCA
rnacentral:tRNA from 1 species